CUUGGCCCAAAUGAGGGCAUUAGUAAAUAUGUCUUUCCUCUCCUGGGAAUGGUGUUCCCUCACAGCAUCAUUCUGAAUGAUCACUUUCCAUAAAGGCAAGAGUUUAGUCUUUCAAAUGAACUAUAUGGCAAUGGAAGAGGCCAUUGGUUCCAAGGGCAGAAGACUGGUGCUACCCUUGGGCAUGGGAAAAACAUUAGGAUCAAGAGCCCAACUACUGGCGCCAGACUGCCUGGAUCUGCAGUUAAUUCUGCUACAAGCUAUAUCUGCAAAAAAGCCCAGAGUUGAGCUCUCCAAGGCCACAUAGCCACCUAAUGGCACAUUCAGGUCUAGAAACCAACUUCCAGACUCUAGACCAUUCCCCACUGUACCACCCUCCUUCCCUGGAGGUGGAUGUCCUGGACCAAGAAAGUUCUAUCAGAGCAAUAAUAAUCAGAACUGCAGUACCUCCCUCCAAGGACUCCCUUGUCACUCCAAAGACAGUCUUAUGCUGAUUCAUUCAUUCAUUUAUCCAUGCACUUACUCAGCACUGAGUUUAGCCUACCCAUAGAAGGUACAGAAAAGUUAAAACACAGAUGUUGUCCUUAACGGACUUCAACUAAAAUUGGGGCAAUAAGGUAGGCAGAGAUUAAAAUGAUAUGAUAAUACAGUUAUUUAUAUAAUGUGAAAAGUA